rnacentral:pre_miRNA from 1 species
GUAACUCAUAUUUGUAUGGAAUGGGAUCGUUUGCCUACGUUUGCCGCUAGGGGCGCUGUUCCAACUGCAUACAAAAUUGGGUUA